AGCGAACGCUGGCGGCAGGCCUAACACAUGCAAGUCGAACGGAUCCUUCGGGAUUAGUGGCGGACGGGUGAGUAACACGUGGGAACGUGCCCUUUGGUUCGGAACAACUCAGGGAAACUUGAGCUAAUACCGGAUGUGCCCUUCGGGGGAAAGAUUUAUCGCCAUUGGAGCGGCCCGCGUCUGAUUAGCUAGUUGGUGAGGUAACGGCCCACCAAGGCGACGAUCAGUAGCUGGUCUGAGAGGAUGAUCAGCCACACUGGGACUGAGACACGGCCCAGACUCCUACGGGAGGCAGCAGUGGGGAAUCUUGCGCAAUGGGCGAAAGCCUGACGCAGCCAUGCCGCGUGAAUGAUGAAGGUCUUAGGAUUGUAAAAUUCUUUCAGCGGGAACGAUAAUGACGGUACCCGCAGAAGAAGCUCCGGCUAACUUCGUG
rnacentral:rRNA from 1 species